rnacentral:rRNA from 1 species
CACGGGGGGUACAAGCGUUAAUCGGAAUUACUGGGCGUAAAGCGUGCGCAGGCGGCUGGGUAAGUUGGAUGUGAAAGCCCCGGGCUCAACCUGGGAACUGCAUUCAAAACUGCCCGACUAGAGUAAGGUAGAGGGUGAUGGAAUUUCCUGUGUAGCAGUAAAAUGCUUAGAGAUUGGAAGGAACACCAGAAGCGAAGGCGAUCACCUGGGCCUUUACUGACGCUGAGGCACGAAAGCGUGGGGAUCAAACAGG